GACGAACCGUGCGAACGUUAUUCGGAAUCACUGGGCUUAAAGGGCGCGUAGGCGGGUCGGCAAGUCAGGGGUGAAAGCCCCCAGCUCAACUGGGGAAGUGCCUUUGAUACUGCUGAUCUCGAGGGAGGUAGGGGCGUGCGGAACUUCCGGUGGAGCGGUGAAAUGCGUAGAUAUCGGAAGGAACACCGGUGGCGAAAGCGGCGCGCUGGGCCUCUUCUGACGCUGAGGCGCGAAAGCCAGGGGAGCAAACGGG
rnacentral:rRNA from 1 species